CACUGUUUAAAAAGAAGCCAUUUAUUAAUACAAAAUUAAACCUGAGAUAAUAGAAAAUAGCAACUCUUGGGAAUUAUAAAGGCAUCAGCCCCAUGCUCCACCCCCACUCCAGCAACACAAAUAAAGUUGAUUCCUAUUGGACACUUCUACCACUAAUAACUUCAAGCCUGCUGCGGUAUACAGAGCAGGCUGGGCCCCAAACCACAGAAAAUUCACAUUGCUGAGAAAGUGAAGCCUUUAGUUGGAGAGCCAUGUGGCUACUUCUGGUUCUGCUUUCCCUUGUGGAAAGGUAGCACCUGGCUUACCCUGCUCUUUUGUGAAUACUUUUGUGGUAAGAGGAAUAAAGAAAGUCUCCGAAGCACUGACCACAAACCAGGGAUGAGUCUCCACAAUCAUUCAUAAACAACUGGCCUACUUUGUACAUAAAAGUGCUAAGGUAAUGCCAGUUGAACUGGUGUAAUUAAACUGGAGAAGAAAGAAUGAUUCUACACCUUGCAUAACCAUUGCCUACCCAUUUUAUUGCACAUAAUGAAAUUUGAGUCCUAACCUUAGUUUGCACUUGGUAAUACUGUAUUUUGUAUACAAUAUAAACCGGUGUCUGCAUUUAAAUAGUUUGCACGCUUAGAAGUCUAAGUCCUGAAUUUGGCUUUUGUAAGAGUCCGUACUAUAUCAAAUUUUAACAUUAAGUAUUUCAAAGGUCUGUCUUGUUCUUUUCUGCAAAAGUCUAAACAGAAAACUUUCUAUACUGUUACGAAGGGCCCUUUUUUUU
rnacentral:lncRNA from 1 species